rnacentral:rRNA from 1 species
UCGGCAAUGGGCGAAAGCCUGACCGAGCGACGCCGCGUGUGGGAUGAAGGCCCUCGGGUUGUAAACCACUGUCAACGGGGAGGAAAUACAGAAGGGCUAUCCCUUUUGUUUGACCUAUCUGUGGAGGAAGCACGGGCUAAGUUCGUGCCAGCAGCCGCGGUAAUACGAACUGUGCGAACGUUAUUCGGAAUCACUGGGCUUAAAGGGUGCGUAGGCUGUUACCUAAGUCAGGUGUGAAAUCUCUCGGCUCAACCGGGAAACUGCGCUUGAUACUGGGUGGCUAGAGUGAGGUAGGGGUGUGUGGAACUUCCGGUGGAGCGGUGAAAUGUGUAGAUAUCGGAAGGAACGCCAGCAGCGAAAGCGGCACACUGGGCCUUUUCUGACGCUGAGGCACGAAAGCUAGGGGAGCGAACGGGAUUAGAUACCCCGGUAGUCCUAGCCGUAAACACUGAACACUCGAGGAGGGGGGCUUCGGCCUUCUUCUUCUUAGCGAAAGCGUUAAGUGUUCCGCCUGGGGAGUAUGGUCGCAAGGCUGAAACUCAAAGGA